GACGAACGCUGGCGGCGUGCUUAACACAUGCAAGUCGAGCGGUAAGGCCCCUUCGAGGGUCCACGAGCGGCGAACGGGUGAGUAACACGUGAGCAAUCUGCCCAUCACAUCGGGAUAACUCCGGGAAACCGGAGCUAAUACCGAAUACGACCACCUCCGGCAUCGGAUGGUGGUGGAAAGUUCCGGCGGUGAUGGAUGAGCUCGCGGCCUAUCAGCUUGUUGGUGGGGUAACGGCCCACCAAGGCUUCGACGGGUAGCCGGCCUGAGAGGGUGACCGGCCACACUGGGACUGAGACACGGCCCAGACUCCUACGGGAGGCAGCAGUGGGGAAUAUUGGACAAUGGGCGAAAGCCUGAUCCAGCAACGCCGCGUGAGGGAUGACGGCCUUCGGGUUGUAAACCUCUUUCAGCAGGGACGAAGCGCAAGUGACGGUACCUGCAGAAGAAGCACCGGCCAACUACGUG
rnacentral:rRNA from 1 species